rnacentral:tRNA from 1 species
GCCCAUGUAGCUCAGCUGGAUAGAGCACUCGCCUCCUAAGCGAGGGGUUCGGAGGUUCGAAUCCUCUCAUGGGUGCCA